rnacentral:rRNA from 1 species
GACGAACCGUCCAAACGUUAUUCGGAAUCACUGGGCGUAAAGGGUGCGUAGGCCGCACGGUAAGUCAGAGGUGAAAUCCCGGAGCUCAACUUCGGAAUUGCCUCCGAUACUGCCGUGCUUGAGGACUGGAGAGGAGAUUGGAAUUCACAGUGGAGCAGUGAAAUGCGUAGAUAUUGUGAGGAACACUAGUGGCGAAGGCGAAUCUCUGGACAGUUCCUGACGCUGAGGCACGAAGGCCAGGGGAGCAAACGGG